CAUUUCUCACUGAAGCAGUGUUAGAAAAUAUUUCGGGAAAAAUACUUGUAGACCUUGGAUUGACUUGAAAUUUUUUGUGUAUAAUCUAGACU